CGUAAUAACAGAAACUAACCAGGAUUCCCUUAGUAACGGCGAGUGAACUGGGAUACCAAUAUAUUUAUGCGUCUCUGGCGCAUAUUUUUAGCCCGUCGAUACUAUCCUAGCGUAUUACCGGUUUCGGCCGGUAGCCCAAUACGCGGGAAUUGUAGCAUCGUAAUAAAAUAUACACCAUGCCUGCGUCGCAAACGUAUAUACACGUAUACUCACACACACAUACUCUCGUACGCGUACACACCCCUUGCAAACACACAGCGCUCCCGCGUUGGAAAGCAAGUCUAUAUCCUCUUUGGAUAUGCCAUAGAGUGUGACAGCCACGUUUGAAACACCCUUACGUACCGUACACACACAUACGUAAAAAUACGCGCUGCUUCGCAUACGCAUACCGUAUAUAACCUGAGUCGAGUUAUUU
rnacentral:rRNA from 1 species